rnacentral:lncRNA from 10 species
UUUCGAUGGUGCUGAAGGAACCGCAAAUGUCCACAUAUUAGGAUAAUAAUUCUGAUGCUUUCUUUGUAGGAGAUAUGUCUCCAAAGGAGCUGCUCCUCACUGAUGCCUGAGGCCACCUUCAAUUAAACCCAAGCCUCUUCCUCUUCUACUGGAGCCCCUAUUCAUUUCUUCAGGAGCAUUGUGUAGUGACAAGGGUGGAGAUCUUUGAAACCAGAGAGCCACCGUCAAGUUCUGCCCGGCUUCGCGAGCUUAUGGAAGGCAGGCAUUUAACAGAAGGGACACGCGCUGAAGCAUGCUAAGAGUUUCAUGAACUGCCAUGCAGGAAAACUAGAGGGGAAGUCACUAGCAACCAGGAGCUAGACUGGAAGAUCAGCAAAGCUCUCUCUGAGGAAGUGACAUUAAAAGGCUGAAACAGGAAUCAAAGAGGACAAAUACAGACAGGGGAAGCAGGUGGAAGAGUUCCAAGGGAGGGAAGAGACUGCACAAGGCCCCAUGCAGGGCAGAGGCUUGUGUGUGAGGAGCUGAAGGCCUUGCCAAGCAGGGCUGGCAGGAGGGAAAGUGCAGGAGAUGAGGUUGGAAACUGAGGAGAGGGGAUGUGGGGAUUUAUAGAUGCAGUAGAAGUUAGUGUCUCAUCUAAAGGGCAAGGAGAAACUCUUAAAGGAUAACGAUUUCCUUUUUUUUUUUUUUUUUUUUUUUUUUUUAAGAAACAAAGUUCUGUUGCCCAGGCUGGAGUGCAAUUGUAUAAUCAGGGCUCACUGCAGCCUUGAACUCCUGGGUUCAAGCAAUCAUCCCGCAUCAGCUUCUUGAGUAGCUGGGACUACAGGCAUAUGCUACCAUACCUGGCUAAUUUUUUUAAGAAAAUGUAGAGAUGGAGUCUCACUAGGUUGGCCAGGCUGGUCUCCAAUCCCUGGCCUCAAGUCAUCCUCCCACCUUGGCCUCCCAAAGUGCUGGAAUAACAAUCGUGAGCCACCAUGCCAGGCCUCUUGAGACUUUAGUGCAUCAAAAAAUUGUCUCUACAAAUCAAGACUCUUUAUAUCCAAAGACUAUUUUGAAGCUAUAAAUCCCACACUGCCUUUCUUUGCUCUGGUAUCUAGGAACCCUUUUCCUGGGGUGUGGGGUUGGAAAGCCCUGGCUGCCUGCACUGGCAGGUGUGGAGGACUCAAGGGUCCCAUAGAAACCUGUGCAUAGGGCGUGGGGAGUGCAGUGGUUGAGUUUUCAGAACACAGUCCUCAUCGGCUACCAAAGCAUUUUUCCUGAGGUGGACUCUUAGUAUCAUUUAGCCCCGAAGCCUCCCUCCCAGCAGAUCUUUAAAAUGUUACACUAAACAUCAGCCUGAGUGCAAGCAACCAUACAGGCAUGCCCUUGACAAUGCUUACACCAAUGAUGGCUUCAGCCAUCUUUCCAACCACUCACUAAGUUCUUCAUUUAGGGAGGCACAAAUUGUCUACUGGUUUUAACCAGGACAUGGAAAGUCCAAAGCUGAUGGUGUCUUCUCAUGCUUGCACAGAUGAGAUUUGGGCAUCAACCCUUUGAUUGGUCUCAGCUUGCUAAGAAAGAUGCUUUUGGAAUGCACCAGCCACUCCAAAUAACCUAAAUCAGGACUCUUGAUCCAGUUCAAUGCAGGCAGGUAUAUACACUUCAAAGGCAGCGACCAGGUCUGUCUUCCUCCUCAUGUAAUCCCCCAGUGCUGAGUAUGGGGCCUGGGGUAGACAGAGUACUCAGGUCCAUCUGUGGAAGGUGCCAGCCAUAACUUCCUGAUGUAGAUGGAGACUGUGGUGGUGUGGGGAGUCAAAAUGGCAGAAAGAAAAGACUUUGGUCUUUCAAUCAAGAGGCCUGAUUUAAGUCUUUAACUUAGAAGGUGGUCUUUGGGAAAUAAUUUUUUUCUCCUUGGGUCUUCAUUUUCUUAUCUGAAUUAACUCAUCUCUCAGCCCUAAAUGAUCUUCCGUUUCUUGCAUUUUAUUAUUCCCUUACAGACUUAGCUGUAAUCCCUUGUAACUCUGAUGAAAUGCAGUAGAAGUGAGAUAUUUUUUGGUAAGAAGAUGGUAUCAGUUCCUUAGAUGCUUGCAGGAAAAAAUUCAGCUCUGUGUGUCUGCUUCCAGAAGGGCCCCUGGUGACACCAAGCCAUUGGUUUCAAUAGUCUGGUUUGAAGUUGAGAGGUGAGAACUGACUUUUUUUUCUCUUUGCCUUUCUGCAGCAACAAUUUUUUCUUUAAGGUGAUGGAAAACUCUGGUCUAGUUUGAAUCUGACAAUUAAUAGAGAGAAUGGAAGAAAAAAAAGAAGGCAAAAAGAACAAGAGGGUUGCCAGCCAAAAAAAAGCAUGAGUGAAUAUUUUAAAUUAUUAUAUUUCUAUCCAAUUCUUUGUUGUUAUUUGGCUUGUUACUUUUUUACUGGUAAGUGGGACAAGUUAGCUUAGAAAAAAAGGGGACCUUUGCCCCAUCGAAGAAGCUAUGACCAUUUUAAAAAAGAGUGUAAGGAAUACUGAACUUGUCUACCUCCCAAGUUUUCUAGUUGAGAAAACUAAACUCUAGAAAAGGAGAAUUUUGUUCACCUAGCCAAUGAAUGCUAACCAAAAUAGUACCUGAGCUUAGGCUCUGUAGUAAAUGCUAGAGAUAUAAAAUUAAGAAGACCCUACCCUUGAGGAGCUCAUAAAGUCAUGGAGGAUCAUCUACAUAGAUUUAACAUAUAGUCACCAAGUCUUUGUUUGUUAGAUCUGCUACAUGCUGGGGCUCUAUACUAGGAGAAAAUCCAUCAUAAUCUAUGCCCCCAUGGAGCUUGCUGCCCAGUGAAGACACAGACAUUGAACAAUUAAUCCCAACAAAGAUGUGGAACAUUUUAACUAUAAUCCAAGGCCAUUGUAAAGAGGAGUAGAGGACUUUAGGGAAAGCACAGCAUCUGCAAAGGCCCCAUGGCAGGAGGGGUCCUGGUGCAUCUGAGGGGCUGCAGUUGAAGUGAUGAGAGGUCACUCUAGGAGGAAGGUUGGGGACAGACCCUGCAGGUCUGCUGGGCCUUGUGAGUAGCCCUAGAGUGUGGUAGAAUCCACACACUGCAUACAAUGCACAGAGGGAGCGGGGGAAGAGCGACCCCACCUGGAGGAUCAGGGAAAGGCCUGUGGACAGGGAUCUGGGUUUAAAGGAUGCUUUGUCCCUCUCUCAGCCUGGUGUGGAGAAAAGCAUAUGAACAGCAGGAUCAGAACAUGUUCAGAAAAGUUCCUGUGGCUGGAGAUCCGGGAGGUGGGGGUGGAAGGUGAGGUUACAGAGGGACACAACUAGAACCAGAUCCUGGGAGCUUUCUAGACCAAGCUAGCACAACCUGGAAAAAAACAUCUACCACCUUCUUGCAAAAGCACUUAGCCCAUGAGUGAAAGGACAGGUCUAGAAUUCAGAUCCAAGGGAGUAUCUUGCCCAACAUCUUCUCUUUAAGAGGAGACUGAGACCCCUUCCAGCUCUGACAUCCUCUGACUCUCAAACGUGAUUUGCAGACUCAACCAUCCCAGCCUUGGAGACUGUUGUUGGAUAAUGAGGAAGUGUAAGAUGUGGUGUUUACACUGUGGUGCACUAAAGCCCAGGAGAAUGAAGAAGAGAAGCUUACCCCACGCCUAAAGAUGAGAACAUGCGAUAGUGUCCUGAGGCUGCAGUAACAGAUUCUUACACACUUGGUGGCUUCAAUAACAGAAAUGCAUUCUGUCACAGCUCUGGACACCAGAAGCUGAAAUUAAGAUGUUGGCAGGGCCAUGCUCCCUCCCAAGGCUCUGGAAAAUAACUCUUCCUUCUUCUUUCAGAUUCUGGUGGCUCCAGGUGCUCCUUGGCUUGGGGCAGCCUCUUUCUAGUCUCUGCCUCCACCUUCAAUGGCCCUCACCUCUUCUCUCUGUGUCUCUUCUCUGUGAGUCUCUUAUCACUGGAUUUAGGGCCCAUAAAUUAAUCCAAGAUUAUCUGCUUCUCCUGAGACCCUUAACUCAGUUACAUCUGCAAAGACUUUUUUUUCCAAAUAAGAUCACACCCACAGACUAGGACGUGGACAUGUCGUUUCAGGGACCACCAUUAACACACUACAGACAAGCAUCAGAAUUUACUGCUAAGUUGUUUUUCUGCAAAGGUGCUCACAGUAGUCUCAUAGAACUUUCUACUGAUAUAAACUGUUUUAAAGAUCUUUGUUUAUGCAAGAGCAAAAUGAGAAAAGGAGAAUUCUCCACACUGGUAAAAGCUUUUACAAAACCCUUCAUUCCUCUCUACACACAAGUCCUGGGCCCACGUAGGUGAGCUGUGAAGGUCUGACCAGAGGUGAUUUUCAACCAGGCUCAGUAAUAAAGCAUGUGCCACCUCUGUAACCAAAUGCAAGGAUAUAAGAGGCAGGAAGUAUGAAUUCACUGGGAUCCCGAGGCAUCUUGGUGCCCACUCCCGAAUGACAGUCUCAACGAUUGCUUGUUGGCUGCGGGGCUUGAACGCGUGAACCCUGCUUAGUGAGGCUUCCCUCCCUUAACCAGCACUCCGUGGUUAUCUGAUGCCUUUCUCCACAAUACCCUGGUUCUGAGAAAUCAAAUUAAAUAUAAAUUCUUUCUGCCACUAAGCAGCUCCUUGGAAUUCCCCUAAUAAAAAUUCUCUUGAAUAUGCCACUCGGUGGAAUUCUGUGUAAUUCUAGACAAGAAUAAUCAUUUCAGAAAUAGGUUCCUGUAUUCAACUGUGUAAUGAACACAAUUAUUCUUAUUACCCAGCACCGAGAUUGCGGGUGUGACUGCAUGUUAAAGACUGUUUGUAAAAGGGGCGCCUUAUCUAUCCUGGCAGCACACCCAGCCACCGGUCCACGUGGGACUUGCCUUAUCUCCUUUCUACUGCUAUGAUUGUGGGAGAGGAAGAUAAUGAGGUUUUUUUCUUGUUGUUUUUUGAAAAAAAUAUGUUACAAAGGUAAGUAGAAACUUAAGCCCCAAAAGAAAUUUCUCCAUUAACAUAACUUAUGAAAAUAUUUUGUUCAGAGAAGUGCAUCAUGCUACCUCUCCAAAACGCUUGCAGAAAAGAAAAGUGGAAAUCCAUCUAAAAGCAGAGUUGCAGUGUUCCUCAUGGCCCAUUCAAGACAUCGUUGUUCUCACAAACUCUUCAAACUUCUCACCCAGGCUGCUGGGCAUUGCAGAGUCUGGUCUGGAUCACUGAGGCUCACAUUAGACACUAUUUGAAAAGGAGUGCUGUUUCAUUCUACAGACCUUACACUACACAGGACAAUUAAAUGUGGUGCCAGAGAAGAGUGGGAGAAACAGAGCCUGCUGAGCCAACUUCAAUGAACUGAUAAAAAUGACUAUAAUUAGUGGCACCAAUUUCCAUAUUCCAUGUUAAAAACCAUGGAUUUGGUUACAAAGAUUAAACAUAUUCCUUACAAUGUUAUUUUCCCCUUCUACGGAGAGCACACUUAAUGGCUAAUCAAGGCUGAGUUCUUAGUGCCUGGAUUUUUCAUGUGCAUAGAUUUGUAUGUUUCACAGGUUCCUAAAUGUUACAAGUCAGAGGCCAGAGCAAUGUGAACUGAGCUCACAGAAUUACCACUGCCAGUCGAGACAUUCCAACAUGUUUUUCUGACAUAUCUGUGUCAGUUGUCA